GGCGGCGGGUGAGGAGCUGAGGCCGGCGCGGGGGCGGGUGCGCGGAGGCGGCCGCGGGCGGCGGGCGAGGAGCUGAGGCCGGC
rnacentral:snoRNA from 1 species